rnacentral:rRNA from 1 species
CUACGGGCGGCAGCAGUAGGGAAUAUUGCGCAAUGGGCGAAAGCCUGACGCAGCGACGCCGCGUGAGUGAUGAAGGUCCUCUGGAUUGUAAAGCUCUGUAAGGAGGGAAGAACCGCCUGGUGUAACGGCCAGGUCUGACGGUACCUCCAAAGUAAGCACCGGCUAAAUAAGUGCCAGCAGCCGCGGUAAUACUUAUGGUGCGAGGGGUGUCCGGAAUGACUGGGCGGAAAGGGUGCGUAGGCGGACUUUCAAGUCAGGUGUGAAAUCCCCGGGCUUAACCUGGGAACUGCGCUUGAAACUGGAAGUCUAGAGUAUGGGAGGGGUUAGCGGAAUUCCCGGAGUAGCGGUGAAAUGCGUAGAGAUCGGGAAGAACACCGGUGGCGAAGGCGGCUAACUGGCACAUGACUGACGCUGAGGAGCGAAAGCGUGGGGAGCGAACAGGAUUAGAUACCCCGGUAGUC